UACGUAGGGGGCAAGCGUUGUCCGGAAUCAUUGGGCGUAAAGCGCGUGUAGGCGGCUUGGUAAGUCCGCUCUGAAAGCCCGGGGCUCAACCCCGGGAGGCGGGUGGAUACUGUCAAGCUCGAGUCCGGAAGAGGCGAGUGGAAUUCCUGGUGUAGAGGUGAAAUGCGUAGAUAUCGAGAGGAACACCUGCGGCGAAGGCGGGUUGCUGGGCCGACACUGACGCUGAUGCGCGAAAGCCAGGGGAGCGAACGGG
rnacentral:rRNA from 1 species